UGCCAGCCGCCGCGGUAACACCUGCGCCACUAGUGGCAAUCGCUUUUGUUGGGCCUAAAGCGUUCGUAGCCGGCUUUGUAAAUUUUCUGUGAAAUCGUUAUACUCAAGGUAACGACGUGCAGGAAACACUGCAAAGCUAGGGACCGGGAGGCGUCAGAGGUAUUCCGGAGGGAGCGGUAAAAUGCUAUAAUCUCCGGAGGACCCCCUGUGGCGAAGGCGUCUGACGAGAACGGAUCCGACGGUGAGGAACGAAUGCCAGGGGAGCGAACCGGAUUAGAUA
rnacentral:rRNA from 1 species